CAUAGGAUCCUUGAGGAGAGAAAAGCCCAGGAAAUCAGCCUGAUCAGUCUGAUGCCACAGUUUAGUUAAGGAGCAGAGUACUCAAGGAAUGUGUCACUGCUUCCCCCAGGUCCUCCUUUUAUUCCAGGAACAUGAGAAGAGACUGAUAAAUGGAAAAUCCUUCUUCCCUGCAAACAGAGCCACCACACCAGCAUCUACUACUUCCUGAUGUUUGGCUUUUAUAAAGGGUUCUUGGUGCACUCUGGGAUGGAAAUUUUUCUCAAGGCAACCAGCAGAAACUAUUUUAGGCUGAGAUUUUCAUAACAGCUUUAGUGCCUUCCUAAAGGAAGAGAUCACCUGAUUCCCUGGAAACACUGGAGAAAAACCACCCCACUCCACCAUCAGUUACAUCUGCUUGGCAAUGGAUGGUGGGUGAAGGACUUUGGGCACUGGAACAUUUGGACGAGGAGCAGAUCCUCUGAGGCAUUUCAUGGACUGACAGGAGAGAGAAAAAGGUGGC